rnacentral:rRNA from 1 species
GACGAACGCUGGCGGCGUGCUUAACACAUGCAAGUCGAACGGAAAGGCCCUGCUUUUGUGGGGUGCUCGAGUGGCGAACGGGUGAGUAACACGUGAGUAACCUGCCCUUGACUUUGGGAUAACUUCAGGAAACUGGGGCUAAUACCGGAUAGGAGCUCCUGCUGCAUGGUGGGGGUUGGAAAGUUUCGGCGGUUGGGGAUGGACUCGCGGCUUAUCAGCUUGUUGGUGGGGUAGUGGCUUACCAAGGCUUUGACGGGUAGCCGGCCUGAGAGGGUGACCGGCAACAUGGGGAUUGGGAACCGGCCCAGACCCAGGCGGGGGGAAGCAGGGGGAAAUAUUGAACAAGGGGCGGAGGCCUGAUGCAGCAACGCCGGGGGGGGGAGGACGGCCUGCGGUUUUUAACCCUCUUGCGCCUGGGACGAAGGGGGAGGGAGGGUAGGGGGUAAAGAAGCACGGGCAAACUAGGUC